rnacentral:rRNA from 1 species
GAACGAUGACGGAGAGCUUGCUCUUCUGAUUAGUGGCGAACGGGUGAGUAACACGUGAGUAACCUGCCCUUGACUCUGGGAUAAGCACUGGAAACGGUGUCUAAUACCGGAUACGAGCUUCAGCCGCAUGGCUAGGAGCUGGAAAGAAUUUUGGUCAAGGAUGGACUCGCGGCCUAUCAGCUAGUUGGUGAGGUAACGGCCCACCAAGGCGACGACGGGUAGCCGGCCUGAGAGGGUGACCGGCCACACUGGGACUGAGACACGGCCCAGACUCCUACGGGAGGCAGCAGUGGGGAAUAUUGCACAAUGGGCGAAAGCCUGAUGCAGCAACGCCGCGUGAGGGACGACGGCCUUCGGGUUGUAAACCUCUUUUAGUAGGGAAGAAGCGAAAGUGACGGUACCUGCAGAAAAAGCACCGGCUAACUACGUGCCAGCAGCCGCGGUAAUACGUAGGGUGCAAGCGUUGUCCGGAAUUAUUGGGCGUAAAGAGCUCGUAGGCGGUUUGUCGCGUCUGCUGUGAAAACCCGAGGCUCAACCUCGGGCCUGCAGUGGGUACGGGCAGACUAGAGUGCGGUAGGGGAGAUUGGAAUUCCUGGUGUAGCGGUGGAAUGCGCAGAUAUCAGGAGGAACACCGAUGGCGAAGGCAGAUCUCUGGGCCGUAACUGACGCUGAGGAGCGAAAGCAUGGGGAGCGAACAGGAUUAGAUACCCUGGUAGUCCAUGCCGUAAACGUUGGGAACUAGAUGUAGGGGCCAUUCCACGGUUUCUGUGUCGCAGCUAACGCAUUAAGUUCCCCGCCUGGGGAGUACGGCCGCAAGGCUAAAACUCAAAGGAAUUGACGGGGGCCCGCACAAGCGGCGGAGCAUGCGGAUUAAUUCGAUGCAACGCGAAGAACCUUACCAAGACUUGACAUAUACGAGAACGGGCCAGAAAUGGUCAACUCUUUGGACACUCGUAAACAGGUGGUGCAUGGUUGUCGUCAGCUCGUGUCGUGAGAUGUUGGGUUAAGUCCCGCAACGAGCGCAACCCUCGUUCUAUGUUGCCAGCACGUAAUGGUGGGAACUCAUAGGAGACUGCCGGGGUCAACUCGGAGGAAAGUUG